AGGUAAGUUCUAGGUAAGUAUUAGAAUAAAACUGAGCACUAAAUGUAGCACUUUGUAACCCAAUUUUAAAAGUGUUUUGGUCUUUCUUUUUUAAAACAACGUAAUAUCUGCUUUUAGAUUUCUUCAGAGGCCCCACAGUGUCAAAUAUCCGCCUGGCUGGUUUAGAGUAUGUUCUGCACUUCACUGCACUGAAUGGGAAGAUUCACUUUCGAAGCUAUAAGUUGCUGUUGAAGAAAUCUGGUUGCAGAACACCCCGGAUUGAGUUGGAAGAGAUAGGACCCUCUUUGGAUCUGGUUCUGAGGAGGACGCACCUGGCAUCAGAUGAUCUUUAUAAGCUAUCUAUGAAAAUGCCUAAAGCCCUCAAGCCAAAGAAGAAGAAAAAUAUCUCCCAUGAUACUUUUGGUACAACUUAUGGAAGGAUUCACAUGCAGAAGCAAGACCUAAGCAAAUUACAAACCAGGAAAAUGAAGGGGUUGAAGAAACGACCAGCAGAAAGGAUAACAGUAGAAAAAGAGGAGAAUAAAUCAAAAAGAAUUAAAAAAAAUUGAUGGAAUUUAACCAAGAA